UUCAGGGUACAGGACUCUCGUAUCAUUCUGUGCUUGAAAAUAUUGAAUGCAAUCUGUUUGGUAAAAAUACAAAAUGUUGCACGAAUUAUUAUUAAUGUCUGGUCUAAUUUGCAGAAUUCGGCAAAAAUGCUAGCAUCAGUAUCUUGAAAUAAUAGUGUACCACUCAUUUUUAUUGACAUUAACUUAUCAACUCAAGUGGUGUUGAUUAGAAUAAACUGAAAAUAAUUGAAUUUUUCACGAAGUCUAUUCUUUUCCUAAAUUUUAGUCACUUAUUAUGUAUAUAGAUAGAAUUUGAU
rnacentral:lncRNA from 1 species